UCUACCAACUGCUCCAUUCGU
rnacentral:miRNA from 1 species